rnacentral:rRNA from 1 species
UAAACCAGGAUUAGAUACCCUAUUAUACUUGAAAACCGGACUUUAAGUAGUAAAAAUUAUAUUUUUGAAAUUUAAAGGGUUUGGCGGCUUCUGGAAUGAUCAGGGGAGUUUGUGUUUUAAUCGACAGUACGCGUUAGACCUUGCUUGACUUACGCUUGUAUACCGCCGUCUAAACACCCUCAGCAGAGUUCAGUUGGGAUCAUUUAAUGUGCAAACGUCAGGUCAUGGUGCAGCAAUAGUUAAGAUAAUCACAAACUACAUUUUAAAGAGCAUUGGAGUCAAGUUUAAAAGCUUGGUGAAAGUGGACUUGUAAGUAAUUA